rnacentral:rRNA from 1 species
GUCUACGGCCAUGCCACCCUGAACAUGCCCGAUCUUGUCUGAUCUCGGAAGCUAAGCAGGGUCAGGUCUGGUUAGUAGUUGGAUGGGAGACCACCUAGGAAUACCAGGUGCUGUAGGUG